UUGGCAGCAGUCUCUGUAGUCAUGCAAAGAACACAGUGGGAAAUGUAAACCCUGACUACAUUCUUUCAAUGGCAGGUGAGUGUUACCAUUAUAAUAAAUCACUUGCUGUACUUUUCCUGCUUCUUAUUUUUCACUGAUGACUAGAAUGGAAGAGAAUAGUCAAUACUAAGGGAAAUUAGCUAAUGAUGUUUUCUCCCCAACCUGUCUGGAGACUGUAAACCAGGGGCUUUGUGAGCAGAGUAACAUCUGAAAGCAGCCUUCAAUGAUCUGCCUUUCAUUUCCACUCUUUUAGUGCCAGUGCCUCCCCAAGUCACCCAGAACCAGAAAAAGGUACCAUGGCAUUUAGACUUUGUCUCUGCAACAUCUGAUGCCAUGCAGCCAGUGACCAUGGGUUCCUUAGUGUUCCUAGGAGGCUUGGGAGGGUGAUGGGUGGGGUGUCAGUGAUAACAGCCAACCUAAGCAGUUAAGAUGAGCUUCACCAUGGCUGUGUGUCUCCGGAGCAUUUAACAGCACAACCUGGACCAGUUUAAGACCCAGUCCUUAAUGGUAUCUUACAGAAAGGCUAUUAUUAAGCAAAGAAUUCAUGUUGGAUCAAUUGCCUGUCCCACGUUACCAUAUUUCAGUUAGGAGCUAACAGCUUCCAUUAAUGUUUGAAGCUGUGAUCUUUGGAAGAUUUUAAAAAUACAACCAUAAUGUGAAUUGGGUUAUAUAAGCUUUACAGCACAGAUAGAGAUAAGGGAUAGAAACUAUGUGGGAAAUCACAUAAUCUCUCACUCCAGCCCAUCCUCUAGAGUUUGGAAAUCUGAUGAGUUCAUAUAUUCAAAGCUUUUGAUGGUACCUAGUAUGUAGGAAAUACUUGUGAAUGCUGACUCUGCUGUUGUGGUUGAGGCAGGAUGGAUGUGAGGGAGGUGAGACUAUGCUGGUUAAGCAGCAGGUGUGUGGCCUACUGAGGGGAGAGUUGGGCUCACUCCUUUGCACUCAUAGUCUUGGGCUCCCCCCAGCUGAGGCCAGCCUCCGCAGGACCAAUGUGCUCAUUUCUGCUGCAGCAGUUAAAUCAAACCAGCCAUCUUGCAGCCCAGGGUUUGUAAAUACUUGUUUGGGAUUUAUGGGUGCUUUGAGUUUCACAAGGGCUGAACCUUGACCAUUUAUCUGCUGAUUCAAGUUUUCUAGCCACACUUAAGUAAUAAAAAAAAAAAAAAAACUUACAAAGGUCAGAAUCUAGUCUGGAUGGCUUGUGGUAUUUGGUGGUAGAGAACAAGUUAUUAUAAACUAUAGAGGGAAAGAACACAUAGGAUGCUGUUGGCUUAGAUUCUUGCGAAGAGUCUCUGUCCCUUGUUUUAUGGUACGUUAGUGUAAAGCAUCUGUACUCACCACCACACAAGGCCUCCCUUCUGUCUGAGACAGUUAGGGUAUUAAUCUGUUGUAUCUCUGUUUGUCUACCUAUUUGGACACAAUUGGGAAGUUUCUAUUGCAUACAAGGACAAGUGGGUGAUGGUAAAGUUGCCACUUCUGAAUUGAAUGAAGGGCCUGUGUCUACUAUGCAAAUUCUGGCUCACACAUGCUUGCAAAGACUUAAGGAGCCUCAGAAGAAGAGUGGACAGGUUGAGUUCCAGGCUGUUAGCAGGAGCUGACAAGGGGAAACAUUCUGUGCUGCAUCCUUGGAGAAUAGUUGGAAGAAUCUUACUGUAACCAAGUUCUAGAGCAUCAGAGUAUGUGAAGGAAACAUGAGUCCCUGGUCUGGGUGGGAGACAGAGCACUGCAGCACCCUCUUCCGUUGUGUGAUCCAUUUCUAGCUCCAAGUCUAGAGGAGUGGUGCAAGGAUCAUUGUUUUACAGGCACCAGAAGCCCAGAGGUCUCUACAAACCACUCUGCUUGUUUGUGGUAACAUCCUGUGAUUUCUAACUAGUGAGCAUUGAGCCACAUGGAGGAAAUGUCUUGUGCUGUUCUGAGGGUUAGCAGAAACUCUCCUAGGAGAUUGGUUCUGAGUCCUGCAACUGAAGCACCUAGUAGUUUGCCAUUACUAGGAAAGGGCUUUAGGUCAAGUGACUUUCCGCAAUUACAUAGUGCUUGGUGGCAGAGCCCACACGCUCUUGACUGCUGUGCUCAGCUGAUUGUGUGCACUCCUUACCACCCUGCUUCCCAAGGUCAUUUGAGAGCAUGGUCCCUUCCUCUGUCUCUGGUAUAUUCUACUUCACGUUCUUCUAGACAUUGGGACUAUACUGUGUGUGCCUUACAAAACAGAACAAACAACACCAAUCCAACUCUCCUAUUCCCUUCCCUGUCCUAGCUCACGCUCUCUCUAGUUCCUUUGGAAAUGGAUUGUGAAUAAGUUCUAAGCCAGGAAGCCUGGUUUUUGCUAGCUGCAUGUUGGAAUAUUAAUUGUCUUGUGCUGUUACCAAAACUGUAUGUGAUGAAGUGCAAACUUAGUGGAUGCUUCUUGGAGAGAUCCCAG
rnacentral:lncRNA from 1 species